rnacentral:rRNA from 1 species
AGCAGCCGCGGUAAUUCCAGCUCCAAUAGCGUAUAUUAAAGUUGUUGCAGUUAAAAAGCUCGUAGUUGAAUUUCGGGAUUGGCGCGUCGGUCGUGCCUUAAGGGGUAUGAACUGGCGUCGUCGAUUUCUCACCUUCUGGAGAAACGCGAUGCCCUUAAUUGGGUGUCGUGCGGAACCAGGACCUUUACCUUGAAAAAAUUAGAGUGUUUAAAGCAGGCAUUUUUGCUCGAAUACAUUAGCAUGGAAUAAUAAAAUAGGACGGUUGGUUCUAUUUUGUUGGUUUCUAGGAUCACCGUAAUGAUUAAUAGGGAUAGUUGGGGGCAUUAGUAUUCAAUUGUCAGAGGUGAAAUUCUUGGAUUUAUUGAAGACUAACUACUGCGAAAGCAUUUGCCAAGGAUGUUUUCAUUAAUCAAGAACGAAAGUUAGGGGAUCGAAGACGAUCAGAUACCGUCGUAGUCUUAACCAUAAACUAUGCCGACUAGGAAUCAGACGAUGUUAAUUUUUUAAUGACUCGUUUGGC